CUGGUGUUCACCAGCCUGUGCUUGGCAUUGGGUCCCAGGGUGACAGAGAUUUGGCCUGGGACUCGGAAGAGUGUUGAACUACCUGACCCACCUGAUGUGUGUGCUUAAAACUGAGUCCUAGAUUCUGAUUGAAACCAAGAUGGGUCUCCAAGGCCUGCCAUCAAAGAGACAUUUGUGUACCCGGACAGAGCUCCCAGCUGAGCCCAGAGGCACAAAGAUAACAGAAUAUUAAACGAGGAAAGACUGGACACCGCAACUUCCCCACUGGUUCUGAUUGGAAGACUAAGGGAGAGGUCACAGAAGACACAGUUUCCCUGAUGGCAUGCUCUACGUGAAACUGGAAAAAAUGUUAGACAUGUCUUUUGUUCCCAAGAUCACCAUGUACUUGUCCAGAUUCCCUCUGGACUUCUACAACUGUAUCAUUUGUCUUGACGUAAAGCUGGCUCUCAGGCACAGUGGGAACUUUCUCUAAGGAGACCAUAAACAAGCCUCUCAGUCUCCCCUCAAGACGUCUAAAGAGACUUCCAGUUUCUGGUCCCACAAGUAAGGAUCUUGGAAGUCAUCACUCCUGUCCUCACAACAAGAAAGGAGCUGAACAAACUGAAAAUCAACCACUCUUCUUUGAUCCGUCAGAGAAUGAAGGUCAGAGAGCAAACCACUGCCCCCCAAACUGGACAUACAAACAGGCUAGGCAAACAAAGAGAAUUACAACCUAUUGAAGCAGAAACCUAGGCAGGAGCCAGGACCAGAGGAGGAAAACUUAGCAUGUAAUUGACUAAUUGCUGGAGACUCAGUGUGGAGAAGUUUGAGUUAAAAGCAUCAGGGGGCCCAGUCGUGGGAGAAACCCAAGAGUUCUGGAGAGUUUUCUGUCCAGGAGCCCUAUCAGUUUCUCACAGUGAAGACUAGAGAAAAAUCUCCUUACACCUCUGGCAGAGUGAGAUGAAAGUAGCUAUUAUUAGAUAGAUCCAGAGCAUUUUGUUUUUCUUGACAAAGCCUGCUCUCAAAGAAACUAUUUGACCAGAGCCUAACCAACUGGGAUUUUACCACAACCCAACUGACCUUGGGGAAAGGAAAUGCCCAACUCCAGCCCCUCUAGCCUUCCUUUUCCAUCGAGGGGAGCAGGAAGGUGAACCCUGAGAAGCUCUUGUGAAGGCCACAGCUCAGUGACACAGGCUGACUCAAAGACUGAGCCCUGAUCAUAGGACUACAGAAUGUUUCCACACACAGACACACACACACACAUACACACACUCACAACUUACCGGCACAUCCAUAGGGAUCCUAGAUGAUAACAGGGGAAUAUAACGGAAAGGAUACAACUGAAAGAACCGCACGUUCUCAGGCCUCAUUUAAGCAGAAAUCACCAGGGACACUCAAGAGAGCUGAGAACACAAAACAAAGUAUUCCAGAGGGGACUUAAGCCUCUGACAUCUACAGCUCCAAUAAACAGGAAACCCAGCCUAACCCCUAGCCAGAUAAAGACAAAACUUCACACUAAGGCCUACUUACCUCAAAUCCUUUACCCAGUAUAUCAUGUUUGGCUUUUAACAAAACAUUAAAAGACAUACUAUGAGACAAAAAAAAACACAGUUUGAAGAAAGAAACUAAGCAUUAGAACCAGGCUCCCAUAUGGCAGACAUGGUGGAAUUACUAGAGCAGGAAUUUAAAACGACAGUGAUUAACAUGCUAACGGCUCCAAAGGGAAAGGUGGACAGCAUGCAGGAACAUAAGGGGAAGGUAAGUAGAAAGAUGGGAACUCUAAGAAAGAAUCCAAAGGAGAUGGUAGAAAUGAAAAACACUGGGACAGAAAUGGAGAGUGCCUUAGAGGUUCAACAAUACACUGGACACGGCUGAGCAAAGAACCUGUGAGCUUGGAGAAAUAUUGAGAGAAAUUUCUAAAACUGAAAUGCAAAGAGGAAAAAGAAUGAAAAGGAAGAGAUGAUCCAAGAACUGUGGGACAAUCACAAGAGGUGUAAAUAUGUGUAACGUGACUAUCAGAAGGAGCACGGAAGAAGCAUUUGAAGCAAUAAUGACUGAGAAUUUCCUAAAAAUUUUUUCAGUUUUUGCCACCCAAAGGAUUUUUUUUUUUUUUAAUAUUGGCACCUGAGCUAACAACUGUUCCCAAUCUUCUUUUUUUCUUCUGCCUUGUCUCCCCAAAUCCCCCCAGUACAUAGUUGUACAUUCUACUCUGGGUUCUUUUAGUUGUGGCAUAUGGGAUGCUGCCUCAUGGUUUAAUGAGAAGUGCCACGUACACAUCCAGGAUCUGAAUCAGUGAAACCCUGCACUGCCGAGUGGAGCGUGUGAACUUAACCACUUGGCCGUGGGGCCAGCAUCCCCUAAAAUUAAUUAUAGACAUUGAACCACAGAUCCAGGAAGCUCAGAGAAUAGCAACCAGGGAAAUACCAAAAUGUAUACACCUAGGAAAGAAUAUCAUAUUCAAAAUGCAGAAAAUCAACGACAAAAGAAAAGUCUAAAUGAAGCCAGAGGGAAAAAUACCUUACCCAGAGAAGAGUAAGGAUAAGAGGUAUAUCAGACUUCUCUGAAACCAUGCAAGCAAGAAGAGAAGGGAGUAUAAGGAAGACACCCCACCCACCUCGAAUUCAGUAUCCAGUAAAUAAUCCUUCAUCAGCAAGAGAAAAAGAUAACAUUCCUAGACAAAGAAGAAUUGAAGGAAUUUGUCACCAGUAGGCCUGCCUUGCAAGAAAUGUUCAAAGAACUUCCUCAGAACAAAGGAAAAUGAUAUAAGUCAGAAACCGGGAUCUACACAAAGAAAGGAAGAGCAUUUUGAAGCAAUGAAUUCAAAUACAAUAAUUUAUUUGUCUUUUUCUUGAUUGAUCUAACUGAUAACUGUUCAAAACAAAAGUAGCAAUAAUGGAUUUGGAUAAGCAGCUUAUGGAUAAGUUAAAUGAAUGACAGUAAUGCUCUAACGGAUGGGUGGAAUGAAUUGGGAAUACUGUGUUAUUAGGCACUUGUGUUAGCCAUGAAACAGUACACUGUUCUUUGAAAGAGCACUUGGAUGAUUUUUAAAUGUACAUUGCAAACUCCAGGGCAACCACUGAAAAAGAAGAAAGAAAACAUAAGAGUACAGUUGACACGCCAAGGGAAGAGGAAAAAACGGAAUCACGUAAAAUUCUUUUUCACAACCAGAGAAGAUGGAAAAAGAGUGGAAGACAAAAAAAAGAAACCAGGAAGAGAACAAUGAAUAUAAAACAGUAACUAAUAUGGUAGACGUUAAUCCAAGUAUAUCAACAAAAACCUUCCAAGUCAGUGGUCUAAAUGCACCAAUUAAAAGAUAGACUGUCAGAGCGGAUGAAAAAAUAAGACUUAAUUAGAUGAUGUGUAUAAGAUAUCCACUUUAAAUAAAAAGGCACAGAUAGAAUAAGAGAAACAGGAUGGAGAAAGAUAUACCACGCUAUCACUGAUCAAAACAAAGCUGCAGUAGCUCAAACAAUUUCAGACAAAGCAGACUUCAGACCAAUGAAAAUGAUCAGGGAUAAAGAGGGGUGUCAUGUAACAAAACGGGGUCCAUUCUCCAAGACAUAACAGUUUUUAAGCUGCACCUAGGAGAAGAGCACGAAAAUAACUGAGGCAAAAAGUGAGAGCUGCAAGGAGAAGUAGAUGAAUCCGGUAUUACAGUUGGAGAUUUCAACACCCCUCUGUCAGAAACAGAGAGAUCCAGCAGGCAGAAAAUCAGGAAGGAUAGAGUUGAAAUAAACAGCACCAUCAAUCAACUUGAUAGAAUCGACACUUCUACAAUUCUUCAUCAAACGAGGGAAGAACACAGAUUCUUCUCAAGCUCACAUGGAACAUUCUCUAGGGCAGGCACUAUGCUGAGAAGGAAUGAGAAGACAGAAGAUACAGAUUACUCAUAUGAGAAGUGAAAGAGGGACUGGCACUACUGAUCCCAUGGACAUCAAAUGGAUAAUCAAGGAAUGUUAGGAACCAAUCUGUGCCCUGAAGUUUGAAAUGCAUCCAUUACUUGAAACACACAAUCUACCAGAAUUCCCACAAGGAGAAACAGAUCAUCUGAAUAGGCUUAUAUCUACUACAGAAAUUGAAACAACAAAAGAAUCUUCCCAAACAGAAAGCACCAGGCCCAGAUAAAUUCACUGGUGAAUUCUAUCAAAUAUUUAAGGAAGAAAUUAGGCCAGUUGUCUACCAUCUCUUCCAGAAAAUAGAAACAGAGGGAAUACAUCCUAACACAUUCUAUGAAGUCAGCAUUCUCCUAAUACAAAAACCAGACAAAGAUGUUACAAAAAGGAACACUCCAGGCCAAUAAGUCUCACGAACAUAGGUGCAAAAAUCAUCAACAAGAUUUGACAGAUUGAAUCCAAGAAAGUAUACAAAGAAUUAUACACCACAACCAAGUGAGAUUGAUUCCAGCUAUGAAAAGGGGGUUCAACACUCAAAAAUCAAUUAAUGUGAUUCACCGUCCAUCAGGAAAGAAACCUCUAGUUGGACCACUGUGGCCUGUACCCAGUGCAUUUCUCCUCUCUGUUCCCACCCUGCCAGUGCUGCUCCUGUGAUGGCCCCAAAUGGGACAUGGAAACCAGAACAACUGGUUAAAAAAAAAAAUCCUCGUGAGUGGAAUCUCUUGGAGCAGCUCAGUGCAGUCAGGGCCUAUGACCGCCUUACCUGGGCUGAGCUUUUGGGCAAGGCGCUUCACCAGCCUGCAGCCCUCAGCCAGUCGUUCUUGAAAGCCCUGACCCUGGAAGUUGGUAGGGUCAUCGUGGGUGAGAAGGUUCCUGAGGUGCUGCUUGAGGAGCACAGAGACUUCUCUGCCUUUCUCUAUCGUUUGCUGUAACUGGGCCAGCUCUUGAGCCUGAUCUUGGAUUAGGACAUCGUAUUUCCUAAGGUGGCACAGAAGAGACCAUUUAAACAUGCAAAGAGUCGAACCAUAGAUCAUAAGAUUUUUCAUGGAGAUUUCUGUGAGAAAAUCCCCAAGGAGCUAUUGUAGCAGAAUUCUGGCACAUGUAUGGUGACCUGCUGCUGCCAGCCUGCUAUCAGUUCCCCUCCAUUAAACCCAGCGUAUGUGGGGCUAAAACCAAAGCACUCUUUCCCCGCUUACUCCCUGGCUCCAGAAUACUCUAUCCACCAUGGAGACAAACCACCUGGGUUCCCUAUCAUCUCCUCCUCCCCGCUGCAAACAGUGUCCCAAGGCCGAAUGCAGGCUGGUGGGAAAGUUCCGACCAGCAAGGCCACUGAGUCCCCCCACCAUCUACAAGCAGCCACAAUCCUCACAAUCCUUUAAAAACACUCACGUCCCCUCUUUCGGUGAGAUGAGAUGAAAUGAGACAAAUGUGAGGGCUCCCUCUCCUCUCCUGGCUCAUGUCACCCGAAAUAACAACCCUCUCCUUGCCUUAAGCCUGGUGUUCCAGUUUUUAUUGGGCCCCUCUUGUGUGGCGGGUAAAGAACCGAUGUUUGUAGGUGGUAAAAUCUUAUGAGCCCACCAGAAGGCUCUUGCCCAUGGGUCCAUGGCCCCAGGACAACUGGGAUUUCCUGGGAAGCAGUCCUGCAGCCACCUAGGUCAUUUGCCCUAGGGACUGCCCUCAGUACUUUCCAUCUGCCUCGGAGCCACUGACCCUAGGCCCAUUUUCUUAUGGCGAGGAAACAGAUUCUAGAUUGGUUUGUUUGCUGCUUCUUCCUUCUGGGAAGUCGAUGGACUCUGAAAUAGAGUAAGUUGCCUCAGAGAUGCCCAUGAACUUCCUUCCCCUCUUUUGGGGUCCCCUCCAUUCACGGAAGGGCCAACUUUGGUCCUUUCCAUUCACGGAGGGGCCGUCUGGGCACGCAUUUGGAGUGGGAACAGUUGUAGGACUUUCUACCCUCCAUCUGGGAAUUGGUUCACUGGUGUCUGGUAUUUCUGUGUCUGGAUCUGAGUGUCUGUCUCUCUGUCGCUGUGUAUCGGAAUGGGAAACAUGCUGUCUGUCACCAAGCAGAGCCCAUUGGGGUUAAUUCUGAGUAGAUGGUCUAAUUAUAGUUAGAAGCCAAUGUCUGAAAGGGAUGAUUUUCUUUUGUGACACUGUUUGACCACAAUACUCUUGAAACUCUGGAGAUAAGAUGGCCAAACAAUGGAUCCUUAAGUUAGAAAACUUUUAGAGAGCUCUCUUCAUAAAGAGCUGUUUUACUGGUACCUAUGAGAAGACCAAAUUAAAAGGAAAAUACAACGACUAAUCUCAAAAACGUCAUCAAAUUUGGGGUCUCAGCUUCUUCUUGUGGUCUCACAGAUGCAAAUGGAAACAUCAAGUUAACAAAGAGAAGUGAAGAAGGGAAGAGUGACAGAACUCACUCACUCCAACAGGAUGGCAAUCUUUAGUCAUUAAAAAGAAAGAGCAGGGUGAAUAGAACAGACACAAAUACUGUCAAAAUGAAGCUUUGACUAAAACACUGCCUAAGGUUGGAUGGGCUAAGGGGACCCCAUGUUGGCCCCCAACAUUCAAGAAUAUCAGACAAACUUGUUCUAUUUCUUCCAGUUUGAAAAAUAUUUUAAAAGUCAGUAGACAGAAAUCACAGCGAGAAACCUAUCAACACUUGUUUGGGGCAACAAUUAGGCUGCUCAGGUUGGUACAAGUAUAAAGAUUAAAGUGUUUACCCUAAUAUUACAUGAGGAGAUUAUGUCAACUUUGCCUGGAUGCUUUUUUGGGAUUAAAUAUUAUGCCUAGCUGAGAAUACAUUCCCUACAUAACACUGUAAUACCAAAACUUGUGAGUGAAAUUCUAAUAUAAGUUAUAAUUAGGGGUACAAGAGUUGAAAAAAUUAAGAUAAAGGUUUGUCAAAGUUGGUGUAUGUAAAUAGACCUUCUGUAAAACAAUUACAUCUGUUUUGCUGCAUUGCAUUAUAGAUUCUGUAGUGGGAAUAAACAUUAUGUGUCGCUGGAGAACGUGUCCCUUGCCUGAUAUUGCAAGAGCUCAUAAACCCACCCUUCAGGCUCUGCGAAUCGAACAUGUAGAGGAGAUUUCACUUUACAAUGGCCAAAAUGAGGCAGUUUCAGUUUACUCAAACCGAUACAUGCAAUCGGAACAAGCCAGCUACAACAGGAAGCCUAUUUUAAUCUUUUGAUGCUUCUAAAGAAAAUAAGAAAUAUUUUACUGCCUCUUUAAGAGAAAAAUCAUUAAAUAAUUAAACAUGCCAGGGCAGAAGCGAAGCCUGCUGCUGCUUUCUCUUCUCUCACUGAGAUUUGCCACUUCAACUCCCCCAAAAUGCCUGAUCUGAAACUAAACAGCUGAAAAUAGGCAAACUUUUGAGAUAAUUUGGAAUUAUAAUGGCCACUCUGGGGAACCUCUGCUUCAGAUGAGUCCACCUGAGGGGUCACCCUUCAAAGAGAGGAUUCAAAAUCUCUUCGAACGGAACACAGUCUUUAAUUAAUAUACAGAACCUCCUGAAAGACAAAGCUAUUUAACAGGAUCUAAAAUGAACUUUGGGAAAUAAAAGCCUGUUUAAGUGUGCUGGUUUGAUUUAAAAUAGACGUGUUCUCAGACUUAUCAGCAGUGGAUACAAUGCAGACAUACAGCCUGGGUUUACUCGUCAAAUGAGCUCAUGUUCUCUCUGUUACAACAUUUGUCAACAAGAGUAAUAACUUAGAAUAACAGCUGAUUUUGUUUAAUGUCUCAUGAGGUUUUUGUGGACGAUGUAAAUAUAACUCUUGAGAACGGGUAAACGAAAUAGAUGUAAGUCUGUCACCAUGCAAAGUUGUUCCAAUAUUGUGGACUACCGUCCCUGUGCUCUACAUUCCAACCCCAUGACUUACUUAUUUUGUAACUGGAAGGUUGUACCUCUUAAUCCCCUUCACCCAUUUCACCCACCCCCAACCCCUCCUCCCUCUGGUAAUCACCACUUUAUUUCCUGUUUCUAUGAGUCUGUUUGUUUGGUUUGGUUUGUUUUCUAGAUUCCGUAUAGAGGUGGAGAAAAAGAAACCCUCCUAGACUGUUGUUGGGAAUAUAAAUUGGUGCAGCCACUGUGGAAAACAGUCUGGAGGUUUCUCAAAACCUUUAGAAAGACAGCUUUUUUUCAGAGAAAGUCUGACAAACUGUAGUCAGUCAGGAGGUGAUUGUGAUUAAAGGUAAAUGCGGUAGUGAUUGCACCACAUCCUGAAUGUCCUAAAUGCCAAUGAAUGCUUCACUCGAAUUUAGCCAACUUUAGGUUCUGUGAAUUUCACCUCAAUAAGUUUUAUUUUAAAAAAAGACUCAAGGAACCUUUGAGUAAUUGGAGUCCAUAGUUUACCAAUUAUUGUUCUCUAAUGGUGUUAUGCAAAUUCGUAUGCAUGUGGCUGCCAUGAAAAUUUGGGCCAUUCUCCUGGCCCAGAGUUGCUCCUUGCCCCCUUCAGAGAUGCCUACAACUUCCCAGCAGACGUCCAGCACAGAGCCCCGCUUACUUGAGCUUCUCCGCUAACGUUGACUUCUCUGUGGGCUUCCCCUCCUGGAACUGCAGCUUCUCCCCCAGCACCGAUUCAAUGAUGUCUUUGCACGCUCCAGACUCUGAGGAAAGACAGAGAGGCCGGCCUCAGUGGAAAGCUGGCCAUGCUGCUGGGGUGACUGCCUGCAAGGGAGGAGGCAGGCUUCCAUCUCUUCUCUCAGAGGCAGAUAGAACCCCAGCACCAGGCUCUCCACUGAGAUUUCCACCUUCUAUUGCUCAGCCUCCCAAAUACACGGCAUUUGGUCACUCCUCAUUUGACAGCUGAGCAAAGAGAAGCUCCAAGGCAGAGAAAGUGACCAGACAAGAUUAGCUGACGUUUGGCAAGCUCAGAAUUCACAUGCCCUGAGACUGACGCCGAGUCCUGGGCCACUUUACCAAGACUUGCAGCCUCUUGAGUAAAACACUAAGCAGCGGCAUGAAGUGGCGAUCCCUGUGUGCUCGGGAAGGCCCCUGGGCCUACUGAUUGUUGGGCCCUCUGAGCUCAGAAUUUCAAGGACAAGUACCUUCACGAUGAAAUAUAAAUGUAUACGAAUGCAAUUCUGAAAAAUACAAGGCAUAACCAUCAAUCCCUGAAGGAAAUAGGCACAGGCUGUAGAAGUUGUUUUCAAUUCCAAGUAGUACAAGAAAGAACUAAUAAAUAGUGUUUCCUGUGUGUCAAGAACUGUUUUAGUAACUUUACAGAAAUAACUCAUGUGAUUCAUUGCAACCGCUCAAAGAAGUAGGCACUAUGACAGGGCCAUACUAACAGAGGAGGAAACCGUGAGGCUCAGAAAAAGCCACAGCUUGGAUCUGAGCCCAGGAAGAGUAGCUCAGUCUUCACCAAUGCACUGUGUUACCUCGCCACAAGAUCUUGGGUGACAUCUUUCUCCUUCAUCAUCUUCAAAAUUUGUUUCCUACAGUUAUGUUACGCCUAUAAAAAAAAGCUGUAAGGAAAACUUAGUCCUUUCUCAAAACCUCAUCUCUUCACUUUCUUAAAAAGCAGGUUUCAAUGUUUACUUUUCUCUGCGUCAGUCAUUUGAAGUUCACCACUCCCACGAUGGUUUAUUGGAAAAUAACACCCAUCCAGACUCAGAGUCGUCAAGAUCCCUUCUACUCACUCUGUUUGGCACGAGGCCCUGUUCUCACGAUCCCUUUCGUCACCACAGCCCCUCUUACUGAACAGGUGAUUGAGCUUCCAAUUGCGAGGCUGACUGUGGGAGGGAAGGACCUGUCCCAGACACUGGUUUGAGUUUUUACUGGGGCUGGUGGCCACCCCCACUUAGCGUCAUUCUCACUUGGGCCAUGUCUCACAGCCCAGACCCUCAAGGUCACCCGGACCUGCUGGCAGUCCUGCAUCACCAAAGGUUCACCAGCUCAGAGAGACACAGAAGAGGGGGUACGGAUUGUCUCAUUUCCCCAGAGACACCCUCUACCUCACCCCAAGAGGCAAAGUGGCUUCCUUGGCCUCAGAAAGAAAAGCCUGUGCUCAGGAAGCAUGGCUUCCCGCUCAGCAGGGUCGUCUCUGUCUGGAUGGCGUCACUCAUGGAUACCACAGUGUCACCGAGGAGCACACUCAUCUUCAGGCUCCUGUAAAGCAGGGAACAUCACCUGCUUCCCCCGGUGUGUACCAUCACCCCAUCUCCCCAGUGUAAGGAGCACAGAGCUUUGCCAGUGGGACCUCAGAGAAGCCUGAACUGAUGGAGCUCAUUAGUCCCGGACACUUAGGCCAAGAGUGAUGCAGGAUCUGAUUCCGUACACGGAGGAUGCUGGGAGAAACAGGUUAGCCUGCUCCAGAGGGAAACACGCAGUGCUGUGACUGCACCAGGAAUCAGUCACUGGGAUUUUACCUAAUCCCACCCUACACCUCACUGCCAAUCUGGAAAAGUCCCUCAACUUUUUGGGCCUCGGUUUGUCCAUGCUCAGCAAACUGAGGGUAAAAUACCCACUUGCACCUUCCCUGGACUGUGGUCACAAUGAAGUUUGUGUUGCCUCAGGGAACAGAAGAAAAGGUCUGGAGAGUUUUUAGUUUCUUAGGGGGACACGGUGGUCACUCAUCCCUCUGCUGACCAUGACCCUGUAGGACUUACUGUAUUUCUGCAGCUGGUUGGCCAGGAUGUAGGACAGUGGACUCAGAGACAAGGAACUUCUGUUUGAGG
rnacentral:lncRNA from 1 species